UUUAAGGUGCGAGGAACUCUCGGCUUAUCCUGUUUUGAAGACUUAAAGCAAGACGAGGUCU
rnacentral:sRNA from 1 species